GUGCUUCAACAGUACAUAUACUAAAAUUGGAACGAUACAGAGAAGGUUAGCAUGGCCCCUACACAAGGAUGACAUGCAAAUUUGUGAAGCGUUCCAUAUUUUU
rnacentral:snRNA from 1 species